rnacentral:rRNA from 1 species
AUUGAACGCUGGCGGCAUGCUUUACACAUGCAAGUCGAACGGUAACAGGUUAAGCUGACGAGUGGCGAACGGGUGAGUAAUGCAUCGGAACGUGCCCGAUCGUGGGGGAUAACGCAGCGAAAGCUGCGCUAAUACCGCAUACGAUCUGAGGAUGAAAGCGGGGGACCGUAAGGCCUCGCGCGAUCGGAGCGGCCGAUGUCGGAUUAGGUAGUUGGUGGGGUAAAGGCCCACCAAGCCGACGAUCUGUAGCUGGUCUGAGAGGACGACCAGCCAAACGGGGACUGAGACACGGCCCAGACUCCUAGGGGAGGCAGCGGUGGGGAAUUUUGGACAAUGGGCGAAAGCCUGAUUCAGCAAUGCCGCGUGCAGGAAGAAGGCCUUCGGGUUGUAAACUGCUUUUGUACGGAGCGAAAAGGUCCUUUCUAAUACAAGGGGCUCAUGACGGUACCGUAAGAAUAAGCACCGGCUAACUACGUGCCAGCAGCCGCAGUAA